GUGGUUAGUAGAGAAAAGUGAUCUUGUGAGCUGGCAAGCUGUUUUUCCAUUCCUCCUUCCGUGUAUUUGUGUGGGUCCCAGAGGGGAGCACCGACUGGCCAAACAAGGUUGCACACUCACUUCCUGGCGGGGCAGCUUCCCUAGUCAGAGGCCCAGUCUCAAGGCUCAAGACCACUUGCGCCAGCAGCGUGUGUCAGCAAGAUAGCAGAAGCAGGAAGAGAGCUGGCUGGAAGACACAUACCCGCUGAAGACCGAGAGAGAAGCCAUCUGGGUACUGCGUAGCAGUUACAUCAGACUGAGACACUUCCUGUUUACAGGAGACUAUAAAGCCCCUGCCCUGUCCUCAUUUGGUGCUGAUGCCAUUUUAGGCCUCAGCCCGUCUACACCCAGGCGCUCA